rnacentral:rRNA from 1 species
CCAAUCGGCUUCGGCCGUCUUUGGUGAAUCUGAAUAACUACGCUGAUCGCAUGGUCUCGUACCGGCGACAUAUCCUUCAAGUGUCUGCCUUAUCAACUGUCGAUGGUAGUUUACACGCCUACCAUGGUUGUAACGGGUAACGGAGAAUAAGGGUUCGACUCCGGAGAGGGAGCCUGAGAAACGGCUACCACAUCCAAGGAAGGCAGCAGGCGCGCAAAUUACCCACUCUCAGAACGAGGAGGUAGUGACGAAAAAUAACGAGACAGUUCUCUAUGAGGUCUGUCAUCGGAAUGGGUACAAUUUAAACCCUUUAACGAGGAUCUAUUGGAGGGCAAGUCUGGUGCCAGCAGCCGCGGUAAUUCCAGCUCCAAUAGCGUAUACUAAUGUUGCUGCGGUUAAAAAGCUCGUAGUUGGAUCUACGGUCGUAGACUCUGGUUCCCUCCUUGGGAUACUAGCUGUCUCGACCUACCUUGUUAGAUUUCUCUUGGUGCUCUUUACUGAGUGCCUUGAGUGUCUAGCUCGUUUACUUUGAAAAAAUUAGAGUGCUCAAAGCAGGCAUUUGCCUGAAUAGUGGUGCAUGGAAUAAUGGAAUAGGACCUCGGUUCUAUUUUGUUGGUUUUCGGAGCAUGAGGUAAUGAUUAAGAGGGACAGACGGGGGCAUUCGUACUGCUACGUUAGAGGUGAAAUUCUUGGAUCGUAGCAUGACGAACAACUGCGAAAGCAUU